rnacentral:tRNA from 1 species
GCCGACGUAGCUCAGUGGGAGAGCACCGCUCUGGUAAUGCGGUGGUCGCGGGUUCGAAUCCCGCCGUCGGCU